rnacentral:rRNA from 1 species
UACGUAGGGACCAAGCGUUGUUCGGAUUUACUGGGCGUAAAGGGCGCGUAGGCGGCGCGGUAAGUCACUUGUGAAAUCUCUGAGCUUAACUCAGAACGGCCAAGUGAUACUGCAGUGCUAGAGUGUGGAAGGGGCAAUCGGAAUUCUUGGUGUAGCGGUGAAAUGCGUAGAUAUCAAGAGGAACACCUGAGGUGAAGACGGGUUGCUGGGCCAACACUGACGCUGAGGCGCGACAGCGUGGGGAGCAAACAGG